rnacentral:tmRNA from 1 species
GGGGAUGCAACGGGUUCGACCGGGUGCGGAAGCGUAGGUAUAAGCACGUCGUAGGUAUCGUCUACGCAAAAACGAUAAACUAAAUUUAUCUGCAAAAACUAAUAAUUUUGCACUCGCUGCUUAAUUUUAGCGAGCGUCGCCUUAAAGUUUUCGAUUGGCUUUAAGAGCGGUGUGAUCAUUAAAUCGACAACUCUUUUUCUCGUUUGACUGCGCGAAUAAAAGAGUAUUAAAGCGGUCGGCGGCAUAAAAUAGCCUGUCUUUCGGCGGUUUAUGCAAGGGGAUAAAGAAAGAAUAAGCGUGUAGAAAACUUACGGGUCCGUAUGCGACACAGGAGUUCGACUCUCCUCAUCUCCACCA